GGGUGGGGGGAGGCUACCAUGCAGUCGAGCGGAUGAGGGAGCUUGCUCCCUGAUUCAGCGGCGGACGGGUGAGUAAUGCCUAGGAAUCUGCCUGGUAGUGGGGGACAACGUCUCGAAAGGGACGCUAAUACCGCAUACGUCCUACGGGAGAAAGCAGGGGACCUUCGGGCCUUGCGCUAUCAGAUGAGCCUAGGUCGGAUUAGCUAGUUGGUGAGGUAAUGGCUCACCAAGGCUGCGAUCCGUAACUGGUCUGAGAGGAUGAUCAGUCACACUGGAACUGAGACACGGUCCAGACUCCUACGGGAGGCAGCAGUGGGGAAUAUUGGACAAUGGGCGAAAGCCUGAUCCAGCCAUGCCGCGUGUGUGAAGAAGGUCUUCGGAUUGUAAAGCACUUUAAGUUGGGAGGAAGGGCAGUAAGUUAAUACCUUGCUGUUUUGACGUUACCGACAGAAUAAGCACCGGCUAACUUCGUGCCAGCAGCCGCGGUAAUACGAAGGGUGCAAGCGUUAAUCGGAAUUACUGGGCGUAAAGCGCGCGUAGGUGGUUUGUUAAGUUGGAAGUGAAAGCCCCGGGCUCAACCUGGGAACUGCUUUCAAAACUGGCAAGCUAGAGUAUGGCAGAGGGUGGUGGAAUUUCCUGUGUAGCGGUGAAAUGCGUAGAUAUAGGAAGGAACACCAGUGGCGAAGGCGACCACCUGGGCUAAUACUGACACUGAGGUGCGAAAGCGUGGGGAGCAAACAGGAUUAGAUACCCUGGUAGUCCACGCCGUAAACGAUGUCGACUAGCCGUUGGGCUCCUUGAGAGCUUAGUGGCGCAGCUAACGCAUUAAGUCGACCGCCUGGGGAGUACGGCCGCAAGGUUAAAACUCAAAUGAAUUGACGGGGGCCCGCACAAGCGGUGGAACAUGUGGUUUAAUUCGAAGCAACGCGAAGAACCUUACCAGGCCUUGACAUGCAAAGAACUUUCCAAAGAUGGAUGGUGGCUUCGGGAACUCUGACC
rnacentral:rRNA from 2 species